AUCAAUAUUUCUAAUGAUUACACUAUUACCAUUAGUAUACAAAAAAUUUUUCCCUUUAGGAUCACCUCCUAAUACAAGAGGCUGUCCCCUUUGUGUUCUGGGUAGUGUAGCAAAUAUGUAUUCUGCAAACUUGUUUCAUAGGACAUUUUUAUUCCGUUUCUUUUUUUUAAAUAAUACUUGAAAAAACUCAACAAUGGGAAUCAGUUCAAUGCCUCCCUCGUAUCUUUCUCUGUCUCCCCCCCCACACACUUUCCAUUGAAAUGCUUGUUCCGCCCUUGCCUUAUUUAGCUGAAGCAUUGAUAAUACUGAAAC
rnacentral:misc_RNA from 1 species